rnacentral:rRNA from 1 species
GUCGGAGCGGCGCAAGGGUGCGUAACACGUGGGUAAUCUGCCAUGAAGUUUGGAAUAACUUGCUGAAAGGCGAGCUAAUGCCGGAUGUAAAAGCUGAGAGGCAUCUCUUGGUUUUCAAAGCUGGGGACCGUAAGGCCUGGCGCUUCAUGAUGAACCCGCGGCCUAUCAGCUAGUUAGGAGAGGUAACGGCCCACCAAGGCUAAGACAGGGUAGCUGGUCUAGAGAGGACGACCAGCCACACUGGAACUGAGACACGGACCAGACACCUACGGGUGGCAGCAGUACGAGAAUAUUACACAAUGGGCGCAAGCCUGAUGGAGCGACGCCGCUUGGGGGAUGAAUGGCUUUCGGCCCGUUAACCCUGUUCAUUUGCGAUCAACCGUUAUUGUUUAAGAGAUGAUUACCUGAUAGUAGCGAAAGAGGAAGGGACGGCUUAACUUCUGUGCCAGCAGCCGCGGUAAUACAGAGGUCCCAAGCGUUGUUCGGAUUCACUGGGCGUAAAGGGUGCGUAGGUGGCGAAGUAAGUCGGAUGUGAAAUCUCCGAGCUCAACUCGGAAACUGCAUUGGAAACUACUUUGCUUGAGGGUUGGAGGGGGGACUGGAAUACUUGGUGUAGCAGUGAAAUGCGUAGAUAUCAAGUGGAACACCAGUGGCGAAGGCGAGUCCCUGGACAACUCCUGACACUGAGGCACGAAAGCUAGGGGAGCAAACAGGAUUAGAUACCCUGGUAGUCCUAGCCGUAAACGGUGCACGUUUGCUGUAAAAGGAAUCGACCCCUUUUGUGGCGUAG